UACGUAGGGGGGCAAGCGUUGUCCGGAUUUAUUGGGCGUAAAGAGCGUGUAGGCGGCCAGGUAGGUCAGCUGUGAAAGUCAAGGGCUCAACCCUUGAAAGCCGGUUGAUACUGUCGGGCUAGAGUCCGGAAGAGGCGAGUGGAAUUCCCGGUGUAGCGGUGAAAUGCGCAGAUAUCGGGAGGAACACCUAUGGCGAAGGCAGCUCGCUGGGACGUUACUGACGCUGAGACGCGAAAGCGUGGGGAGCAAACAGG
rnacentral:rRNA from 1 species